rnacentral:rRNA from 1 species
GAUGAACGCUGGCGGCGUGCCUAAUACAUGCAAGUCGAGCGAACAGAUAAGGAGCUUGCUCCUUUGACGUUAGCGGCGGACGGGUGAGUAACACGUGGGUAACCUACCUAUAAGACUGGGAUAACUUCGGGAAACCGGAGCUAAUACCGGAUAAUAUUUCGAACCGCAUGGUUCGAUAGUGAAAGAUGGUUUUGCUAUCACUUAUAGAUGGACCCGCGCCGUAUUAGCUAGUUGGUAAGGUAACGGCUUACCAAGGCGACGUUCCGUAGCCGACCUGAGAGGGUGAUCGGCCACGCUGGAACUGUGACACGGUCCAGACUCCUACGGGAGGCAGCAGUAGGGAAUCUUCAGCAAUGGGCGAGAGCCUGACGGAGCAACGCCGCGUGAGUGAUGAAGGUCUUCGGAUCGUAAAACUCUGUUAUUAGGGAAGAACAUACGUGUAAGUAACUGUGCACGUCUUGACGGUACCUAAUCAGAAAGCCACGGCUAACUACGUG